GGCGCACGGGUGCGUAACGCGUAUGCAACCAACCCACUCCUGGGGGAUAGCCUUCCGAAAGGAAGAUUAAUACCGCAUAAUGCAGGGAACUGGCAUCAGUUUAUUUGCUAAAGAGUUAUCGGGAGUGGCUGGGCAUGCGUCUGAUUAGCUAGUUGGCGGGGUAACGGCCCACCAAGGCGACGAUCAGUAGGGGAUCUGAGAGGAUAAUCCCCCACACUGGCACUGAGAUACGGGCCAGACUCCUACGGGAGGCAGCAGUAGGGAAUAUUGGGCAAUGGGCGCAAGCCUGACCCAGCCAUGCCGCGUGCAGGAAGAAGGCGCUCAGCGUUGUAAACUGCUUUUGUCGGGGAAGAAACGACCCCUGCGGGGGGCAUUGACGGUACCCGAUGAAUAAGCACCGGCUAACUCCGUGCCAGCAGCCGCGGUAAUACGGAGGGUGCAAGCGUUGUCCGGAUUUAUUGGGUUUAAAGGGUGCGCAGGCGGGAAGGUUAGUCCGUGGUGAAAGACGAUCGCUCAACGAUUGCAGUGCCAUGGAUACUGCCUUUCUUGAAUCUGGUUGAGGCCGGUGGAAUUGACCGUGUAGCGGUGAAAUGCAUAGAUAUGGUCAAGAACUCCAAUUGCGAAGGCAGCCGGCUGGGCCAGUAUUGACGCUCAGGCACGAGAGUGCGGGGAUCAAACAGGAUUAGAUACCCUGGUAGUCCGCACCGUAAACGAUGAUGACUAGGUGUUGGCC
rnacentral:rRNA from 1 species